rnacentral:rRNA from 1 species
UGCGUCCGCUGUGAAUCCGAGGCCUACCCCGAGCUUGCAGUGAUACGAGCUGCUGAAGCAGCAGGAGAGAACGGAAUCCCCGGUGUAGCGUGAAAUGCGCAGAUAUCGGGAGGAACACCGGUGGCCGAAGACGGUUCUCUGAGCCUGUACUGACGCUGAGGAGCGAAAGCGUGGAGAGCGAACAGGAUUAGAUACCCUGAGUAGUCACGCCGUAAACGUUGGGCGCUAGAUGUAGGUCCCUUCCACGGGAUCUGUGCCGCAGCUAACGCAUUAAGCGCCCCGCCUGGGGAGUACGGCCGCAAGGCUAAAACUCAAAGAAAUUGACGGGGGCCCGCACAAGCGGCGGAGCAUGUUGCUUAAUUCGACGCAACGCGAAGAACCUUACCAAGGUUUGACAUGGACGGAAAUCCUCCAGAGAUGGGGGGUCCUUCGGGGCCGUUCACAGGUGGUGCAUGGCUGUCGUCAGCUCGUGUCGUGAGAUGUUGGGUUAAGUCCCGCAACGAGCGCAACCCUCGUCCAAUGUU